GCUGGUCUCAGACUCUUGGCCUUGAGCAGUCCUCCCGCCUUGGCCUCCCAAAGUUGUAGGAUUAGAGGUGUGAGCAGCCGUGCCUGUCUGGGUCUCAUCUUUUUAUGUCUUUUUAGAUCACUUUAACAAGGCAAAAAAAAUUCUGCAGGCCUAUCUUUCUCUCUCAUUAUUGGUACCCUCUCUUUUGCUUUUCCAAAUAAUUCACUACUCAUUGCUGUUGCCAAGUCACUCCCAGUGGCAUGGGUAGACAUAAUUGUAUUGGAGAAAUAUUUAUGUAAAAUAGACUCUCUGACUUGUUGCUUCAAAGAUGUGGUGGGCAUUAUCAAAAGGACAGUUAGUUGUACUGUGCGUGUGACAUAAUUUGUCUUUUUAGGAAAGAGAUUAUAAGGAAAGCACAACAAAACUUGAAAAACCAACUUUAUAAGAAAGUAGACUGAAUUGCUCACAAGUUAUUUGAAAUGAUACUUGUAGCUUGCCUCUCUACUACUGGAUGUUUAACCAAAAACAGUUAGCUAAAUUUUAUAUAUUGAUAACUCAAAGUCAGAGAAUUCCUUAAUGUUUUCAAAACAUUACCACUAAGUUCUGGCCAAGGUGAAAGAACAGGGAUUAAACUUACUCUCUCUUCAGAAGCAGCUAACAAGCUGAGCAAGACAUAUGUAACAACAGUUUUCAAGACAUUAGAUAUCAGACAGUGAAGGACAGUGAUCCCCGGGAGAUGGAAAACAAAUGAGGUGAACCUUGUGAUUAACCCAGCUUACUACCUUGGGAGAGUUUCCCAACCUUGUACAGAAAGGGGGACAUCAGGUGGAGCCUGCUGAUGUGUCUGAAUUGAGGAGACCAAACUGGAAGUCCACAGUGGCCAAGGUGGCAAUAGCGUACAAGAAAACAUACUGAAGAGGAGAGAGCUCACAUACAGAGAGAACUCUGGCAAUUUGCUAAGGGAUCCCUCUUGAAUCUUUAGCUGAUGUGAAUUCAGGAUGUGAAUGAAGAGGCUACCAGAGCUGGAAAAAGAAGUUGCCAAGAAGAUCACAGUCAACAAUCCUCAGAUCUGUACAUGACCCGGAGUAGUUCCUGUUCUCACCAGCCAACAUGGAAAACUUCAUAACUCACGAAGCACCAAGUAAGGCUAAUUGGAAGGCAUUUGCCUCAGUAGUGGCGUCAAAUUAGCCUUAGAAUAAAUUCUUCCCUGGUUCCUCCUAACAAAACUUAAAAGCAAGACCUGGAAGAAUCAAACUAAUUUUUAAGCAGUUUAACUACAACGAAGAGCAAAGGUCCAGGUUUGCAGGAAUACAAAAAUAUCCACCACCCAGCAGAUAAAAGUCACAUUAUUUACCAUGUAAUCAAAAGUUACCAAACAGGCAAAGAAGGAAAGUAAGACCCAUAAAGAAAAGAAAAUAUAAUCAUUCAAAACUGAUGCAGAAAUGAUUCAGAGAUAGUUAUAUAAGAACAUCAACAAUAAUUAUUAUAACUAUUUCAUAUGUUGAGGAAGCUUAGAGGAAAGAUUAAACAUGUUAGUACAGGAAUGAAACAUAUUUACACAUAUGAGAAAUCCAAAUCAGACUUCGAAAGUUUAAAGCUAUAGUGUCUGAAAUGAAAAAUAUGUUUUAUGGGAUUAAUGGCAGUAGAACUUGCAGAACUGUUUAGUGAACUUGAAGGCAUAGCAAUAGAAACUGCCCCAAAAAACCACAUGCAGAGAAAAUGUGAGCCAUGGGAUAACAUCAAGUGACCUAAUAUCUGAAUAAUUGGAGUUCUGAUGGGGCUGGUGGGAUGUAGAGAAAAAGUAUUUUAAGAAAUAUUGGGCAACAUUUUCCAAACUUGAUGAAGCUGUAAACCCACAGACUCAAGGUGUCCAGUGAAUCACAGGCAAAAUAAACAUGAAGAAAAUUACACCAAGGUGCAUCAAAGAAGCAGCCAUGCCAAAAAAACAAAACCAUUUUUGCGGAACAGCUAUACCAUUGGCUUUCCAUAUCCAUGGGUUCUACAUUCUUGGAUUCAACCAAUCAUGGACGGGAAAAAAAAAAAAAAACCUAAACACCAAAAAAAAAAUCAUACAACAAUAAAAAUAAUACAAAUAAUAAAUACCAUGUAACAUAUAGCAUUUGUAUUUCAUUAGGUAUAAGUAAUCUAGAGAUGAUUUAAGGUAUAUAGGAGUAUACACCUAUGUGCAUAGACUACAUAUAACUAUUAGGCAUUUAAUAUGAGGAACUUGAUUACCUGUGGAUUUUGGUAUCUGUGGAGGGACUGGAGGAGGGUCCUGGAACCAAUCUCCUGCAGAUGCUAAGAAACGACAGUACUGAUAGCUGAUUUCUCACUGGAAGUAACACAAAUCGUAGACAGUAUAACAGUGUCUUUAAAAUACAGGAAGGAAAAAAAAGUGUCACCCUAGAAUUCCGUACUUGGAAAAAUAUCCUGCAAAAAUGCAGUCAAAUUGAGUGCAUUUUUGCACUCAAAAACUGGUAAAAUUCGAACAAGGUCGUCAGUUUAGCUAAAAUUAUUGCACCAGUGUUUAUGGUUUUGAAAACGUACUAUGGUUAUGUAAGAUGUUACCUAUCAUGAAACGAGGUGAAAGGUAACAUUUCUUAUGAGUUUUACACUGUGUCAAAAGAUUUUUUUUUUGAAAAAAAGCAAAAAAAAGGGGCGGGGGUUGAGGGAGGACUUCAAUCCAGACUAUUUGGUGAAUUCUCACAACUUCGUAAUAGAAAAUUUCAAAACUCAAUAAAAGUAGUCAAAAAAUGUGAACACUUCAAAGAAGAUAUAAAAUGACAAAUAAGUUAUUUGUGAAAUGCUAAUUAAAACCACAAUGAGAUACCACUACACACCUAUUAGAAUGUCUAAAAUGAAAAAGACCAACCAAAGCAUGUAUUCCUGAGGACAUAGUGCAACUUGAUCUCUUAUACAGUGCUGGUGGACAUAAUAAAAUAAUACAACUAGGCUGGAGGAUUGCUUGAGCAGCUGUAGUGAGCAGUGAUCUUUCCAGUGCACUCCAGCCUGGGUGACAAAGCAAUAACCUGUCUCCAAAAAAAAAAAAAAAAAGUCACAACUACUUUGGAAAACAGUCUACUAACUUAAAAAUGUUACAUAUACGUACGUAUUACAUGCCCAAAUCAUUCACUGGUACGUUUUUAACCAAGAAUAACGAAACGUGUAUUUGUAUACAAAUGAAACAUGUAUUUGUGUACAAAGGCUUGUGUACAGAUCUUCACAGCAGCUUUGUUUGUAAUAGCCAAAACCUGGAAACAAUCUCAGUAUCUAAUGGAUGAAAGGAUAAACAAAUUGUAGUAUAUUGAUAAUGUUGAAUACUCGUAAGCAAUACAAAUGAAGUAUUGAUAGAUGAAGUGACAUGGGUGAAUCUUUAUGCUGAGUGAAAGAAGCCAAUCAGCUUUUUUGCAACAGGUUUGCCACCAGAACACAGGUGUCGUGAAAACUACCCCUAAAAGCCAAAAUGGGAAGAGACUUUUAUCAACAUUGUCUUCAUUGGACACAUAGAUUCAAGGCAAGUCCACCACUGCUGGCCAUCUGAUCUACAAAUGUGGUGGAAUUAACAAAAGAAUCAUUGAAAAAUUGGAAAAGGAGGCUGCUGAGAUGGGAAAGGGCUCCUUCAGGUAUUCCUGGGUCUUGGAUAAACUGAAAGCUGAGCAUGAACGUGAUCUCACUAUUGAUACCUCCCUGUAGAAAUUUGAGACCAACAAAUUCUGUCAUUGAUGCCCCCGGACACAGAGACUUCAUCGAAAACGUGAUUCCUGGGACGUCUCAGGCUGACUGUGCUGUACUGAUUAUUGCUGCUGGUGUUGGUGAAAUUGAAGCUGGUAUCUCCAAGAAUGGGCAGGCUGGUGACCAUGCCCUUCUGGCUUACACACUGGGUGUGAAACAACUAAUUGUUGGUGUUAACAAAAUGGAUUCCACGGAGCCACCUUAAAGCCAGAAGAGAGAUGAGGAAAUAAUUAAGGAAGUCAGCACUUAUAUUAAGAAAAUUGGCUACAAUCCUGACAUAGUAGCAUUUGUGCCAGUUGCUGGCUGGAAUUGUGACAGCAUGCUGGAGCCAAGUGCUAACAUGCCUUGGUUCAAAUGGAAAGUCACCCGUAAAGAUGGCAGUGCCAGUGGAACCAUACUUCUUGAGGGUCUGGACUGCAUCCUUCCACUAGCUUGUCCAACUGACGAGUCCUUGCGCCUGCCUCUCCAGGAUGUCUACAAAAUUGGUGGUAUUGGUACUGUGUCUAUGGGCCAAGUGGAGAUUGGUGUUCUCAAACCCAUUGUGGUGGUCACCUUUGCUCCAGUCAACAUUACAACUGAAGUCUGUUGAAAUGCACCAUGGAGCUUUGAGUGAAGCUCCUCUUGGAGACAUUAUGGGCUUCAGUGUUAAGAAUGUGUCAAUCCAAGAUGUUUGUUGUGGCAGUGUUGCUGCUGACAGCAAAAAUGACCCACGAAUGAAGGCAAUUGACCUUACUGCUCAGUCGAUUAUUCUGAACCAUCCAGGCUAAAUCAGUGUUGGCUAUGCCCUUGUACUGAAUUGCCACACAGCUCAGGUUGCAUGCAGGUUUACUGAGCUGGAGGUAAAGAUUGAUUGCCAUUCUGGUAAGAAGUUGGAAGAAGGCCCUAAAUUCUUGAAGUCUGGUGAUGCUGCCAUUGUUGAUAUGGUUCCUGGCAAACCCAUGUGUGUUGAGAGCUUCUCAGACCAUCCUCCUCUGAGUCGUUUUGCUGUUGGAGGUGUGAGACAGACAGUUGCUGUGGGUGUCAUCAAAGCAGUGGACAAGAAGGCUGUGGGAGCUGGCAAGGUCACCAGGUUUGCCCAGAAAUCUCAGAAGGCUAAAUGAGUAUUAUCCCUAAUUCCUGCCACUCUAGUCUUAAUCAGUGGUGGAAGAAUGGUCUCAGGACUGUUAGUUUCAAUUGGCCAUUUAAGUUUAAUUGUAAAAGACUGGUUAAAGAUAACAGUGCAUCUUAAAACCUUCAGAAGGAAAGGAGAAUGUUUUGUGAACUAAUUCAUUUUUGUUUCUUUCUUUUCUUUCUUUCUUUUUUUUUUUUUUUUUUUGCAUGUGGUUAAGUUACUAGUUUUUUAAAUCAGUACAUUUUAAUGGAAACAACUUGACUGAAAUUCUGUCACAGAAUUUUGAGACCCAUUAAAACAAAGUUCAGUGAGAAAAAAACAAGCCAGGUAAAAAACACAUAUAUAUGUAUGACCCAUUUAUAUGAAAAAUUUUUAAAUGCAGACUAAUUCAUAGUGACAGAAAGCUCAUCAGUGGUUUCCUGGAGACUUGGGAACAGAGAGCAGAGAGGGGUGGAAAGGAGGGAGGGGUUUAGAAGAGGCCUGUGCAGACUUUAGUAUGAUGUAUAUAGUCAUUAUAUUGAUUUGGGUAAUGGUUUCAAGGUUGUAUACCUGUGUCAGGAGUUGCCAAAGUUUUAAGUAUGUACAGCGUAUUACAUGUCAAUCAUAUCUUAAAUAAAAGAAAAAGUCACCAGGUUAGGUUUUCAUUCAGAGGAUAGAAAGAUUACUGAUACCAAUUUACAAAGCCUUUAAGACAGGUAAAGCAAGCUGAGCUCUUUAAGGAGCUGUCCAAUGGUUUUAUGAGUUUGCUAUGUGAUUAAAAUAACCCUGACCAGUAUUCAGGAAUAUUAGUAGUUUCUGAGUUAUUCAUCCCAUCAUUGUAUGAGUUAUUCAUCCCAUCAUUGUAUGACAACUAUUUUUUUCUUAUAGGCCUUUUUGAGCCAUAUAUGCAAUGUAAUGUUACAUAUCUUAUGUUCUGUUAUUAUUCAACAGAAACUUCUUGUCUUUCCAUCUAAUUUAAAAAAAGAAAAAGUUUAGGCCAGGUGCGGUGGCUCACGCCUGUAAUCCUAGCACUUUGGGAGGCCGAGGUGGGUGGAUCUCUUGAGCCCAGGAGUUCGAGACCAGCCCAGCCAACAUGGUGAAGCCCCGUCUCCACUAAAAACACAAAAAUUAGCCCGGCGCUGUGGUGGGCGCCUGUAAUCCCAGCUACUCUGGAGGCCGAGGCAGGAGAAUCGCUUGAACCUGGGGGGCAGAAGUUGCAGUGAGCCGAGAUCAUGCCACUACACUCCAGCCUGGGUGACAGAGUAAAACUCUGUCUCAAAAAAAAAAAUAAUUACAAUAACAUUUAAGUUAACGGUCAGGAUUCUUGAUUAAUAAUAUGUGGGUCUAGAUGGUAGCGGUAGGGAUCAUUUUCGAAAGUUGGGGGAUGAUGUCAUUUUGGAGAACUCCCUAUAUGAGAAGCACUUGGUUGUUUUUGACAUGAAAACUGGGGGGCAGGCCGGGCACAGUGGCUUACGCCUGUAAUCUCAGCACUUUGGGAGGCUGAGGUGGGCAGAUCACUUGGGGCCAGGAGUUUGAGACCAGCUUGGCCAACAUGAUGAAACACCGCCUCUACCAAAAAUACAAAAAUUAGCCAGGCUUGGUGACACACACCUGUAAUCCCAGCUACUAGGGUGACUGAGGCAGGAGAAUCACUUGAACCUGGGAGGUGGAGGUUGCAGUGAGCCAAGAUUGUGCCACUGCACUCCAGCCUGGUGACAGAGUGAGACUCCAUGUCAAAAAAAAAAAAAAAAGAAAAGAAAAUUGUGGGGUAAAUUUGAGUGUAUGAGAAUCUAAGACUAUUGAAUGAACAUUAAUUUUUUAAAAUGUCCACUUAGAACUAUUUAAAGUAUAAAUGUAAAUUAGGGUUUUAAUUAUGAAUAUAAAUGACUGCAUAUCUGUAUAUUUACAGAAACCAAAAAUUUAAUAUUAUAUCUAUGUCUUUAGGAAAGGAUUAUUCAAACAUAGGGCAGGGAUAGUAAAACUUUAAUGUUUUUAUUUCUAUUUUUCUUAUUUAUGCCAGACUCCUUAUUGUUGUUGAAGUUAGUCAAAUAAUUUAUAUAACUCAAGUCCUUAUGUCUUCUAAUCCUAGAUAAAACCUUUGCCUCCUAAACCUGAAAAAAAUAGUCUCUUUUUUGAACAGGUAUUUCAUUUUAAUGUGAUACUUGUUUUAGUUACCUGUUUAGCCUUAUCUUUCAAAAAAUUAUUCUUAACAUGUUAAAAAUAUAUAC